rnacentral:lncRNA from 1 species
GAGACAGCAAGUAGACGGGACUAGGAGUCAAAGAGGAUUCUGGGAAUUGUAGUAGAGAAGUGCUGAUCCAGGCAGGAAGUGACAUAGAAAGGAGACAUAUUUAAGUGAAGGAGAAACAGGAAGGCCUCUCUUUUCCCCUCUGCUCCUGUUCCAGCAGCACAAUGUGAUCCACCGACAAGGAGGGACACCAAUAAGCCGUCCGAUAAGAGAUGGCUCCAGCUUGUGUCAUGAUGGAAUGAAAACUAACCGACCCGGAGGGUAACACAAAUCACUUCUAGUUCUGUUCUUUAUCCACUCACUGAUCCCGUGUGGCUGCCAAUUCACCAUCAGCAUCCCCAGUGCUCUCCCCUCAAUGACAGAACCAACUUCCUGGAUCUUACAUCCCUACAGGAAACGGAUGCUUUUGGUCAGAGUGAUUUACAACAGUAACAGAAAGGAAAUCAGACCAACAGGUGUCAAUAAGGACCUCACUAGCUCCCAACAACUGACCCCAGUAAAGAUGUCGGAGAAGAUGAGCCGUUGUCAGAGUCCUCCUCAACCAAGCGUCUGGUGCCUCUGGUGCUUUCCUCCCGCCCUGCUCUCUCCUCUCUCUGGUCAUGAGACACCCUGGAAGCAGUAACCUCUCCUUGGGCAGCCAGGAGAAUAAUGCCUCCCCCAUGUGCUUCCUCAUAUUUCUGAUUCUGCCUUUUAAAUAUUUGAUGCCUCACAUCUUGCUAGCAUGUUUAUAUAGUUAAAGCUUCAUAUGCUUUCGUUGACACAGCAUCAAUAAAAAAGAGCUGAACGUGUA